AACGAACGCUGGCGGCAGGCUCAACACAUGCAAGUCGAGCGCCCCGCAAGGGGAGCGGCAGACGGGUGAGUAACGCGUGGGGAUCUACCCAUCUCUACGGAAUAACGCAUGGAAACGUGUGCUAAUACCGUAUACGUCCUUCGGGAGAAAGAUUUAUCGGAGAUGGAUGAGCCCGCGUUGGAUUAGCUAGUUGGUGGGGUAAAGGCCUACCAAGGCGACGAUCCAUAGCUGGUCUGAGAGGAUGAUCAGCCACACUGGGACUGAGACACGGCCCAGACUCCUACGGGAGGCAGCAGUGGGGAAUAUUGGACAAUGGGCGCAAGCCUGAUCCAGCCAUGCCGCGUGAGUGAUGAAGGCCCUAGGGUUGUAAAGCUCUUCCACCGGUGAAGAUAAUGACGGUAACCGGAGAAGAAGCCCCGGCUAACUUCGUGCCAGCCGCCGCGGUAAAAC
rnacentral:rRNA from 1 species